UAAGGUAGGGAUCAACAAAACAGGCUCAUGAAUACCAUCAAUAUCUAGUGGAGGGGCAGCAAUGAAAGCAAUAAUAAAUACAGAAGUUACGGUUAAUAAGGUAGGAAUCAUCAAAACACCAAACCAUCUAAUGUAAAGACGGUU